AACGAACGCUAGCGGCAGGCUUAACACAUGCAAGUCGAACGCCCCGCAAGGGAAGUGGCAGACGGGUGAGUAACGCGUGGGAACGUGCCCUUCGCUUCGGAAUAGCCCCGGGAAACUGGGAGUAAUACCGGAUACGCCGUAUUGGGAAAGAUUUAUCGGCGAAGGAUCGGCCCGCGUUGGAUUAGCUAGUUGGAGGUGUAAUGGACCCCCAAGGCUACGAUCCAUAGCUGGUCUGAGAGGAUGAUCAGCCACACUGGGACUGAGACACGGCCCAGACUCCUACGGGAGGCAGCAGUGGGGAAUCUUGGACAAUGGGCGCAAGCCUGAUCCAGCCAUGCCGCGUGAGUGAAGAAGGCCUUAGGGUUGUAAAACUCUUUCGCCGGAGAAGAUAAUGACGGUAUCCGGAGAAGAAGCCCCGGCUAACUUCGUGCCAGCCGCCGCGGUAA
rnacentral:rRNA from 1 species